UGAGGAAUAUUGGUCAAUGGACGGAAGUCUGAACCAGCCAUGCCGCGUGCAGGAUGACGGCCCUAUGGGUUGUAAACUGCUUUUAUUCGGGAAUAAACCUCUUUACGAGUAGAGAGCUGAAGGUACCGAAUGAAUAAGCACCGGCUAACUCCGUGCCAGCAGCCGCGGUAAUACGGAGGGUGCAAGCGUUAUCCGGAUUCACUGGGUUUAAAGGGUGCGUAGGUGGGCAGGUAAGUCAGUGGUGAAAUCUCCGGGCUUAACCCGGAAACUGCCGUUGAUACUAUUUGUCUUGAAUAUUGUGGAGGUAAGCGGAAUAUGUCAUGUAGCGGUGAAAUGCUUAGAUAUGACAUAGAACACCAAUUGCGAAGGCAGCUUACUACACAAUCAUUGACGCUGAGGCACGAAAGCGUGGGGAUCAAACA
rnacentral:rRNA from 1 species